rnacentral:rRNA from 1 species
GAAGUGAGAAAGAUAUGAGUGAAAGAUGUAUUGGUAAUAGGAAUAGGGUGGUACUUUAAUAAAUGUUCGAUGACAAGCCGGAAGGCAAACACAAACAACAUGGGGAAUCUUCCGCAAUGGGCGAAAGCCUGACGGAGCAAUACCGCGUGAGGGAGGAAGGCUCUUGGGUUGUAAACCUCUUUUCUCAGGGAAGGACACAAUGACGGUACCUGAGGAAUCAGCAUCGGCUAACUCCGUGCCAGCAGCCGCGGUAAUACGGAGGAUGCAAGCGUUAUCCGGAAUGAUUGGGCGUAAAGCGUCCGCAGGUGGCUGUGUAAGUCUGCUGUCAAAGAGCAAAGCUCAACUUUGUAAAGGCAGUGGAAACUACACGGCUAGAGUGCGUUCGGGGCAGAGGGAAUUCCUGGUGUAGCGGUGAAAUGCGUAGAGAUCAGGAAGAACACCGGUGGCGAAGGCGCUCUGCUAGGCCGCAACUGACACUGAGGGACGAAAGCUAGGGGAGCGAAUGGGAUUAGAUACCCCAGUAGUCCUAGCUGUAAACGAUGGAUACUAGGCGUGGCUUGUAUCGACCCGAGCCGUGCCGUAGCUAACGCGUUAAGUAUCCCGCCUGGGGAGUACGCACGCAAGUGUGAAACUCAAAGGAAUUGACGGGGGCCCGCACAAGCGGUGGAGUAUGUGGUUUAAUUCGAUGCAACGGGGAAGAACCUUACCAAGGCUUGACAUGUCGCGAACUCUUUUUAAGGAAGAGGCCCUUUUUUUUUUUUGGGGAAGGGGGAACAUUUGGGAAACC